rnacentral:tRNA from 1 species
UGCAUCGGCUGGAAUCGAACCCGGCCGUCCGCGUGGCAGGCGAGCAUUCUACCACUGAACCACCGAUGG